rfam:Ornithorhynchus anatinus chromosome 4, whole genome shotgun sequence.
UCCCUUUGAGGGUCACACCUGGAGAGUUUCCAGCACUCCACCAGUCUUGACUAUGGGAGGAAGAGUCAAGCAGAGGCCUGUCCAUUCCAUUCCUAGCCUGGGCAGUGGCUAGUGAGUGUAAGGCCAUCUGCUGCAAGU